GUCCACGCCGUAACGAUGAGUGCUAGACGCUGGCGGAUUGACCCGUCGGUGUCGAAGCUAACGCGUUAAGCACUCCGCCUGGGAGUACGGUCGCAAGACUAAACUCAAGGAAUUGACGGGCCCGCACAAGCGGUGGAGCAUGUGGUUUAAUUCGACGCAACGCGCAGAACCUUACCUGGGUUAAAUCCUUCAGAACCUGGCCCAAAAGCCGGGUGCCCUUCGGGAAUUGAAGCGAAGUGCUGCAUGGCUGUCGU
rnacentral:rRNA from 1 species